UGCAAUUUACAAGGAUGGACAACCUUUUGAUCAAAAAGUUAUCAUUUGCAAUAGUUCUAUUAUAUAUAAGAUAGUGGGCAGAGAAAUAAACAGUAAAAGUCUUAAACAAAAUCAACAUAAAUGAUCAAGCCACUCUGCACAGAUAGCAUAAGCAAUUAAACACAAAUGUUCUGCUAAAAACAGAUCGCAGAUUCAAAACAAAAGAACCUGGAGGACAGAUCUAUGAAAUGUCACUCACCUCACUAUCACUUCCACGAAGAGAAUAUAAUAUAUGACUUUUUUUUUAAAAUUUUGGUCAUUUGAUAGUUUUUCAACUAAUUUGCUACCUCAUAACACCAAUAUGCUUUAUCUCUCGAGAGGCACUGAUAGACCAUCCUUCUCUUCCGGUCCUCUGUUCCAUUAGAUCUUACUGCAAUGCCAGAAGGAAUAUAACACCACCAAAUUCAUUACUGAUUCCAUCUUAAUGUCAUGUACAAUUGCAAAUAGAUUAGCAAACACUGCUUCAAGUCAAAGAAAAUUAACGAGAAUUAGGACUUUACUCCCCAAAAAAUUCACUCAAAAUUUUCGAGAAAUUUUAAUCUUAUUUCCUAACCUAUAAAAUAUACAUAGUGAAUAACUGCUCCUUAAUCACACGUAACCACACAAAUCCAUCGCCAAAAGGAAAAAAGAAAAAGAAAAAGCAUAGGUCGACAGAUAGUAUAAGAAAUGCAGUCAUGCAAAUUAGCAGAUGGGAAACAUGCAAGU
rnacentral:lncRNA from 1 species